rnacentral:lncRNA from 1 species
AUGUGAUGCAAGAACUCCUGUUCACUUCUCAGUGCCUUCUUCUAUCUCAUCUCUUUGCAGGAAAAUGGUGUUUAUAUGGCAGAAAUGAGCAAGCCACUAUUGGGAUGGAGAGGCUUUUUUAUUGAGGUAAAUAUCAGCUCCAUGGAUUCUAGUAUUUGAUCCUCAUUCUCUCUCUCUCUCUCUCUCUCUCUCUCUCUCUCUCACACACACACACACACACACACACAUACACACACACAAACAAUCUGGAUGUACUGAGCACCAGAACUGAUGGAAUGUCAUGUACGGACAUUAGUACUAGACUGUUAAAGAAGGAAUCAGGAUAGACAUCGUUGGUUUAUGAUUUCAGAUCACACAUUGUCCACACCAUUCCAGUACCAAAUCUUCAUCACCAACCCAAAAAAAGGUUGGCAUUUGCAGCUUUUUCAUUAAGUAUGGCUUAGAUGAAGCACUGCUAAAGCAGAGUGAUUGUCUUCAGGGGCUAUAAGCGGAAAUAGUUUUCCAAACCCCUGUCCAGGCAUUAAACUCACUGGAUGGUGUAAUCAAGCCAUGGUUUCUUCUGCUUCAUUCCUACAUUUCUUGUAGCAUGGAGAAAACAAUACUGGUCUACAUCACGUACCAGCUCAGCUAUUGGUUCCAUCCCUUUCAAAAUCAAGAAUAAUGGAUAUUUCUUUUCCCUGUUUGCAUGUAAAAGAUAAAAAUCGUCUUUGUAAUUUUUUUAACAGUUUGGAGAGCUUUCUCAUUUUGUUUCUGACAGUUUGAAUGUUCACCUCAGGAUUCAGAUGAAGCUGUUAUACAGCUUGUGUUUAGUGAGAAAUUCUUUAGGUGCUAUAAAACUAUCUAGAAGACUCAAGGCAAAAACUGGAAGUACCAAAUGCUUAGCUUGUCAUUCAGUCUAGUUCACUCAUUUUAUCCUUCUAAGAAUGAUCCAUCAACUUCUGAUUACCAUGCCUGAAAGCUGGGUAUUCAUAUAUUACUUGAAACCAAGAGACAGAAAACUGCUGUGCAGCCAGCCACUUGAGAAAGCAUGAAGUACUCUGCCCUAAGGCACUGAUGUAAAUGUAAGGCAUAAUAAUUAUUUCUUAGAUAUGCCUGUGCUAUAAACUUUCAAUGCAGCCUCCAUGCCAUUUUUUGCAAUGGAACAUACUGAGAAGAACUGCCAUUUCUUUUCCAGGUAACUUUCCCAGGACCUGAGAACAAGCCACAUGUUUUCACUUCGGAGGUUCACAUUAUCCCAGAUACUUAUCCAUGUAAAGACUGCCAGGGAGAGGAGUGCUAUGGAACACUGGUGUGACAUCCACCAGUGAUGCUGUGGCUCCUGCUGGGGAAGACAUGAGAUGCACCUAGAAAAACGUGCAGACGAGCAAGUGGGCAGAGAAAAAACCUUGUACAGAGAAUACACAGGUUCAACUUCAGCUAAACUGAAAUAGGUGUGGGAUGGGGAAUGUAAUAUCAUGGGGCAGGUGAGAAUGUCGGUCACAAUCAGGAGACCUAAAGGACUAGCUAUGGUGGCAAUGGGAAAUGGGUAGGAGGGUGGAUGAAUGAGAAAUACAGGGCAUGGGAGGAAGGGCUUGGCUCUGCAGAAUUCUGAACAAGUAAUGCAGCAAAAGAAACUGUGCCUUUGUAAUCCCCAAAUCUCUGAAUCACAAGAAAGAAAAGCACUAUCUUCUGUUAAUCUUCACUGAAAUUCUGUACAAGUAUUGGAGCAUUUAGUGCAGAUUUAAUUCACAACUCCUUAGCAUGGAUUUAAGAUAGUUUAACUUCAUAGACUUCAAUGGGAACAAAUAGCCUCUAAUCUAAGUAAUUGAUUAUAACUGGAUUGUAAAUCAUUAUGUAAAGUGACUGAAUUUAAAUUCCAUGUGAGUCAGAGAACAAAUGAGUGGCUUCUUUGGCUAGCUGUUAUCUCUUCAUUUUAGAUUCCCUUCUGAUGAAUGGGGAUAAUAAUAAAGUUGACUAUAUUUUUUGUGGCAGAAGUGAAGCCACCUGCUGGGGAUUUCAUUGCCUGAUCAUUUCUUGCUGUUUUCUGUUUGUUUUCUGUUUGUUAACAAAUAAAGGUUUUUCUGGCAUUCCUACCAUA